rnacentral:rRNA from 1 species
UACAGAGGGUGCAAGCGUUAAUCGGAAUUAUUGGGCGUAAAGCGCUCGCAGGUGGUUCGAUGCGUCGUGCGUGAAAGACCCCGGCUCAACUGGGGAGGGUCGUGCGAUACGGUCGAACUGGAGGCCAGUAGGGGGAUGCGGAAUUCCGGGUGUAGUGGUGGAAUGCGUAGAGAUCCGGAGGAACACCAGCGGCGAAGGCGGCAUCCUGGACUGGUCCUGACACUCAUGAGCGAAAGCGUGGGGAGCGAUCCGG